AAAUUCUUGCCAACAAUUCAUGGAAUUAAACACAAUAUGCAUAAUAAAUACUAUAAAAUAAAUUUGCAUCUUAAUUUCAUUAUGAAUCGAACUUAAGUGAGCUUGUUCCCUUAAAAUAAUAAGUUUUGUGAGCUUUGUGACACUUUAUUGUAAAAUAUUAAUAAUGUCAAUGUGGCCUUAAAAGGUCAAUUUAGCUUCCAAAACUUAUUAUUUUAAGGG
rnacentral:misc_RNA from 1 species